GAUGAACGCUGGCGGCGUGCCUAAUACAUGCAAGUCGAGCGGACAGACGAGGAGCUUGCUCCGCUGACGUUAGCGGAGGACGGGUGAGUAACACGUGGAUAACCUACCUGUAAGACUGGUAUAACUUCGGGAAACCGGCGCUAAUACCGGAUAAUAUAUUGAACCGCAUGGGUGAAUGGUAAAAGACGGUUUUGCUGGCACUUAUAGAUGGAUCCGGGCCGCAUGAGCUAGUUGUUAAGGUAACGGCUUACCAAGGCAACUAGGCGUAGCCGACGUGAGGGGGUGAUCGGCGACCCUGGAAGGGAGCCACGGUCAAGACUCCUGAGGGAGGCAGCAGUAGGGAAUCUGCCGCAAUGGGCGAAAGUAUGACGGAGCAACGCCGCGUGAGUGAUGAAGGUCUUCGGAGCGUAAAAAUCUGUUAUUAGGUAAGAACAAAUGUGUAAGUAGCUAUGCACGGCUUGACGGUACCUAAUCAGAAAGCCACGGCUAACUACGUG
rnacentral:rRNA from 1 species